AAGAGCUGAUGAGAAGGGGAGAAAGAAAUUAGUACAGCAUAGCUCCUCAGCCUUCAGAGUUGUGAGAACAGCUGUGACUGAACUGAUGAAAUGUCUGCCCAACAAUAAACACACUCGACAGGGCUUGAAGAGCUGUGAAACAUGAAGGUGAAGCUUUGGGGCAGGCAGCUUCUUAAUAUGUUGUCAGAGAAUUUAGAAAAUUUAAUUCCAAGGAAAUAGGAAGUUCAAAGAAAGCAUCUUCCUCAUUAAAAACCACCAAACGCUGCAGCCUGCAGCAGCUUGAACAAUGCUUGCAGCAUUCCCCAAGAAUCCCUGCACAUUGGCAUUAUCCAGAGCGCAUCAUGAUUUGGCAGAUCGAGGCAUGCCUGAAAGACUCUCCUGUCCUUUCUGCAUCCCAGUUGUGAGCUCCCACUGGAGGUUCGUGCAUCUGCACAGUAAGCAGGAUCAAGGGGCUGAAAGCUAACAAGAAAAUGAGACGAACUGGUUGCAAGGCUGUCAUGAGGAGACACUGCCAGGAGAAGGGGGAAUUGCCUCCACAUGUCGCCACUUGGAUCAGACAGCUGAUCUGCAGCAUUUUUACCCUUUCGUAAACACGUUGUCACAAGGUGCCACCAGUGUCACUGACAGGCUCAGCUUUGGCCAGCAGUGGGUCCACCUUGGAGCCAUCAGGAACCAGCCGUGUCCAGCACAAGGCAUCCCCUGGCCUCUUCUCGCAGAGGCCACCUCUGCAGCACCCACCUCCACCCAGACUUGCCAAGUAAACCCAGUAGAACCAACUGGUUUAUUCUUUGUUACUCUGAUCCAGUUAAAAAGUGUGACUUGCUGGUUGCACUGAAAACGUGUGAAGGCCUGGCGUUAACAUGUCUGCCAGGGGAAUGAAUGAAUCCUCCUCUUGCUGGCUGCUUUGGUGGGAGUGAAGAAAGAUCAGUCUGCUGUGGCCUGGCAAAGCCAGCAUUUUAACCAUAAGGAGAAUCAGUCAAGCUCCUUGUAAGACACUGACAAAUUAAACAAACUUCAACUUUUCAAACUUCUCCAAAUUUUAUUCAUGAAGAACAGCAUUUGCUUAGAAAAGCCCCUCUCCCAAAGUAAAAAUAAAUCAGCACCAAUAUUAUUUAUAUAAAUACAAGUAAAUCCAUACAUAAAUGCAUAUACAUACAUACAUGCAGACAUACACAUAUGUGCAUGUAUAUGCCAAGAAUCCUGAACUAAUGUCUGAGCUGAUUUUGUUUCUCUACACUUUUGAAACAUUUCAUGAAUUUCAGAGUCUGGCCUCACAAAUGCUUUAAGAUGAUCCAAGUGUAGGCUGCUUCUGAAGGGACCACAGAUUGUGUGUCUGCAAUGCUCUGCUCAAGUGCUGCCUUUGAUUUUUCUAUAAUCUGUUCACUAUUUCAUAGCCCAACUUUUUAAUUUAAGUUCAUUUCAUUUCUCCUUCCUCCCUAUGUUGAAGGUGGUCUGUUGUUACAGCUGUGAGGAACAAUUGCACAAUAAACUGUUCUAUAGUGUCUCAUGUUCAUGUUUUGCUAGAUAAACAUGGGGGGUUUUUCCACUAUAAAUGGUUAAACUCCUGUGAUCCUGUAUCACAUGAGCUGCAUAUUUGAUUUAGUUAUAUUAUUUUUUACAAAAAUGGUGUUUUGCCACCAGUUUUUAGCUAAACUGGUGGUCUGGUGCUAAGCUUCCUCUUUGCAUUUUGCUGACAUUGCAGACCUCAGGGUUGUUGGUAUAACAUAUACAGCUACUAUGAUUUCACGCUAUAUUUUCUGGUAUUGCUACUUGUAGACAGGAGGAAAAAAGAAUUGAGUAUUAACACUUUUUUUUUCCCAGCAUAUCCAAACAAAUUAAUGCCAGCUUAGGACCAUGAACCUAACAUUCCUUUAGACGUUAUUUAUAUGUACAGCAUUAGCCUCUUGUCUUUACCUUGUUCCUUAUCAUCAAGUUUUCAACAUCUACUCAUAAUUUCCCCUUAUUACUUUCUUUAUGACAUUUUGUCUAAUUCCUGUAAAAUAGGCAGUAGUUCUGUAAUUUCUGAAUUUUCUUUCAGUUACUCUUUCACUGUACAUUAUCUGUUAUUGUGGGUUCCUUUUUUACAGAAGAGUUGUUCUGUUAGCUGGGAUCAGCUGAAAAAUUUUCAAAAGGUAAGCUAUCUUUUACCAAAAUUUGCUCUGCUGGAAACAGAAUGCCCUGCUCUAUCCCUCUGGGCAGUCAGUCUCUCUGUACAACACCUCCAUAGAAGUACCCUAUAUGUGACCCCUGAGAAACUGCAGAAGUAUGACGUACGAACACAUGAAUUUUCCAGAACUCCUGUGGGAGUUCUUCCCUAUUGUGUCAGCUGUGAAUAAAUUAUAUAGACUGAUAGUUUCCAUUACUGGACUAGGUGCUCCACUCCCUAAGGAAAUCAUAAUCUGUGUAGUUCCAAGUGUUGAGAAUUGUUAGGAUCAAUAGCCUUACUUAGCAUUUGAAGCUGAAGUACUUGAAGCCUUAGGCUGCAAGAGCUGUACAAGAGUAAAGUUUUUGAUAAAGCUGAUAUUGUAACCACAAAACUAGCUGAAAGCAACAGUUGCAAGAAGGAUGAAGAAGAUAAGGACCAAGAAAACAACUCUGAGAGAAUGUGGUAACUUCAGAAGAAGACCAAGCCAGAGCCAGGAAAACCAAUAAGAAAUCAAGAGACUACUGACUGGAAUUAAGUGAUUGGACUUGGGGAUUGGGUAAUGGGUGGUACAUUCUGGGAAAUCUGUUUGUGAGGGUAUAAUUGGGGUGCAUGGUCUGCAGUGGAGGUCCCCCCUUGGAGGCAUCCAGCUCGAGCUGCUCUGCAUGUUGGAUAAAUAAACCACUUAUUUACACAGUGGACCGGUGACUUACCUUCUUCGAGCAGGAACCUAGGGCCGAGCCCUGUUAAGGUGGCAUCCACGUAAUUCCUGACAUGGACUGGGUGGUGGCUGCAUAACUCCUGCAACACAAGAUUGUAUAUUUAGUACGCAUGAGCCUAUAAUAAGAAUUGUCCCCUGGUACACGGUCUGAUUGUUGCCUGUUUGUGACUUUACUGUAAGCUUAGACAUCAUGUAAUUAUAUAAACUGCACAUUACCAUAAAUCACAACAGUUUUAUUCAUAUUACUAGAUACAUCUGCCUGUUGAACUGUUCCUAGAAUCAGUACUGGUGUACUGUAAAGUAAGAGUAUACUUUCAUAUUUGUUAGGAGUUUCAUCUUUGUCCACAGGCUUUUACAGAUGGCUUAAGUUCUUGGAAAUGUAGCCAUAUCAUCAAAAGGAUGGAUACUGCUGUGGUGUGUAUUUUAUUGUAUACUUCAUACAGUCUUUCACAGUGUCCUCUUCGAACUCAUCCUAUUGAUUUUGCAGGCUUAAGUUUCCAAAUCUGUCUUGUUUCUUUAUGCUCCCAAGAGUUAGUGGCUUGGUCAUGUAGUCCAUUAUUGUUCUGCCCUGGAGGGUAAAUGUGGGGUCCUAAUUACAGGCUAGUCAAUUUACAUUCUGCAAUUCACCACUCCUUUUUUUAUUCUAAGUUUAAAUCUGGCUUCUAUGUAACAUUUUGUUCAGGUUUGACUGUCUUAUGUUUGUCACAGAUGGAUGCUGAACAAGAGGUUCCCGAAGACUUUAAGACUGCCUAUAAAACUGAGGCCUCUUGUAAGAACUUCAUCAGUUUCUUCUUCAUACCUGAUACCUUUUAACAGCUUCAUACAUUCUAGGUCAAGAAUACUUAGUACCUUUCCUUAGUACAGUCUGAUAAAUGUAUAUUUGCACUUUUAUAUCAAUUAUUAAAGUAUUCUUAAAUAUCCAGGACAAAACAACUUUCUUUUCAUAUUUGUUGUCAGCAGGUCCAUUGAGCCUUCCUGAGGGACAAAAUUCCUGCUGGAUCUCUCUGAAUUUUUUUCAAUUGGUCUUUCUUUUCCUAAGCCCAGUCUUAUCAUGAGGUGUUCAUAAGUGGUGAUGUUUUGUGACAGAGGUGAAUAUUCAAAAAAAACCCAACCAAAAAAUCCAGAAGUAUUUACCUCUCGAUGAUGAGUUACAAGUAAGGAGCUUGUGAGAAAGAAAGGGUUUAAUUUCUUGCUCUCAGUACUGUAGUAAGUCCUCAAGAAGAGCUCUGUUCUCUCAAAAGGUUUUCAGUCCUCAAAAUGGUGAAACUUUUGAAAAAUACCAAACUUUUUCCCUUGUGAGAAGUCCAGGGGGAUCUUCCACUGCUGGUAACCUCUUGAAACAGUGAAGUAACUCUAUAAAAGGAAGAGGUCUGUAAAAUAAAUAAACACACAAAGAAACAAGCAAGCGUGAUUUCCAAGCAAAUAUCAGGGGUUUGCACUUGUCACGAUCC